CCCAUCCAUCCAUUUCCAGAAGCUUCACUCGUUCUUCUUCUCUGCGCUUUCCGUUUCACCAGUUCGAAUCUCUAGCAUUUUAGCUAGCAUAGUACACGGUAUAUCACAGCUCAACAAUGAUUCUUGUGAAUCGCAAGAACGUAUGGUAUUAUGGGUCAGUUUCUCUCCGUUUUUGUUUCAAUACCCAUCUGAGAUGUGUAGAUCGUACCAGCUAAUUUCAAUUUCUAGAUUGAAUCUUGCAGAAAAGUUUUCCAGUAAUGGCAACCCAAUUACAUAGAACCCACCGACGCCACCUGUAAAUCUGUCAUGAAGAGCAGUUACUCACAGACGGAAAGUAGAGCUCAAAAUCAUUAAAAAAUAAAGACAAAGUCAAUACAUUAUAAGACGUUUAAAGCUAUAACAACAGGCUAAAUGCAUACAGAUUCAACAUAGUUUGCAGCAGUCUUGAAGGUACACUUAAGCACAGAUCAAGGAUAUGAAGUGCAUUGCAAGCACUGAGUGACUAAGGUUCAUUUAGGCACAGAUUAUGGAUAUGAAGUACAUAUUUUGCAGAUUUUAUGGGAAAAUAGACAUUACAGACAGCAGCAAGCACUAUGCAUAUGUGAGAUGGGACUAAAAUGUAGGAGAGCAGCAAACAGUACACCUUACAGAGAGGAGCAAACAGUAUACAUAUGUGAUAUGAGACUUAAAUGUGGGAUCAGAGAAAGAAGAUGAAAUGGGAGAUAGAGUUUGCUGGAGUUGAUCACUGCUUGUUUAUAACUCGGUAUAUAUGAAGCCUUUACAGUGGAAAGGCUUCCAACCGUUAAUGAAUGAAUCAUUAAAUUCACAUUGGACAUGUAAACGUCCAAAAAGUAUGGGAAAGAGUGAUUGUAAUUAUUGUAAUAUAUUUAAAUUGUAAUAUUGUAGUA